CCUACGUGAGGCAGCAGUGAGGAAUAUUGGUCAAUGGUCGGGAGACUGAACCAGCCAAGCCGCGUGAGGGAUGAAGGUACAGAGUAUCGUAAACCUCUUUUGUCAGGGAACAAAGGCUGGGACGUGUCCCCGGAUGAGUGUACCUGAAGAAAAAGCAUCGGCUAACUCCGUGCCAGCAGCCGCGGUAAGAAGGAGGAUGCGAGCGUUAUUCGUAUUUUAUGGGUUUAAAGGGUGCUCAGGCGGUCUGGUAAGUAAGCGGUCAAAGCCCGGGGCUCAACCCCGGCCCGCCGUUGAAACUGGCAGUCUAGAGUUGGAGAGAAGUAUGCGGAAUGCGCGGUGUAGCGGUGAAAUGCAUAGAUAUCGCGCAGAACUCCGAUUGCGAAGGCAGCAUGCCGGCUCCACACUGACGCUGAGGCACGAAAGCGUGGGUAUCGAACAGGAUUAGAUACCCCGGUAGUC
rnacentral:rRNA from 1 species